AUUAUUGCUGAGUUCAACCAGAUCACAAGCAAAAACCUCAAGCAAGAAUUCUUCUCAGCCCUUGAUAAACAUACUUCUCGUUUUCUGGAAGUUUUCGAAUCAAAGAAAGGCACAGCAGGAAAAAAGCUCUCAGAGUAUCUAAUGCAAAUGAAGUCUGCAGUAAGUGUUUUUUUUUUGUUUGUUUUUAACAAUAUUGUAAGUCCAUUUGUCAACUUUAAAGUGAUCUGUUUUCACUGUUGAUCUUGAUGUUUUAUGUAUUAUUUGUUAGAACAUCACUGAUGUCACUGCUCGACGGACAGCAGUUCUCUGUGGUCUUGCUGUCCUUCUUGGGGAAGACACUACAGACUUCAAAACAUGCUGACAUUGAUAUUGAUGCACCUCAAGUAUCGAUAGGAAUUCUCACUGUGGUGCCAGAGGACAGCCUGAUGUCUCCACAAGGUUUGCCAUUGGAGGUCACUGAUACAGCAAUAAUUUUGGAGGGUGUUAUAGCAAUGGAUGGACUUGUGAAUGUUCCACAUUCCAUUUGAUUUGUUUUUGGGCUGAUCUAUGCUUUAAAUAUGGAGUACCCUUCACAGCUUAAGAAUUUGUUCAUUAUGUUUUUAAUAGCAGAAACAAGCCUAUCUUAGUUCUAUUGUUGCAUUUUGGGUGUUGUAUCCAGAUUGAUGGGUGACUGAUUAAAAAUCUCAAUACAACUUAACCUUGAUGUUUUAAUCCGUUUUUGUUUUAUGCUUCUUGAUGGCAGAAAAAGACCAUGUUAUUGUAGGUCUGUUGUUGCACUUUGGGUGUUUUAUCCAGGUUGAUGGGUGACUAAAACAAAUCUGUUUUAUUUAAAAUGUUUAGUGUUUGCAGAAACAAGGACUUUGUUUGUUGGAAUUUUUUUUUUUUUUUUUUUUUUUAGUCAUCCAGUAACUUGGGUACAAAUCCUAGAAAAACAAAACUGUAAUUGCUGCAUAACUUGGAUGUUUUGGUCAAGAUGUGUUCUUUGUGUUUCUGAUGGCAGAAACAAGACCGUGUUGCAGUAUGUCUGUUAAUUAAUUUUUUUGAUAGUUUUAAUCAGACACCUACCAACCUGGAUGCAAAACCAAAACUUUUAGUCAAGAUGUUUAUGUUAGUAAUUACAGAAAGAUUUGUCUAUUGUUGCAUUUUGGGUGUUGUAUCCAGGUUGAUGGGUGACAGAUUAAAACAAAUCCCUAUACCCACAACUAAAAAAAAAAAAAAACAAACAUCUGUUUUAAUCAGAUUUGAGCUGAUGGCAGAAACAAGACUGUUGUUGUAGGUCGUUGUAGGUUUUUACACUUUGGGUGUAUAAUUCUGUCAUCCUGGAUACAAAUCCUAGAAAAAGCAAAACCAUAAUUGCCUCAAUUCUGCCGUAAUUUGUGAGUUUUUAGUCAGCUGUCAGCCUGGAUACAAAAACCAAAACUGCAGUAACUACACUUGUUUUUCAUAUGUUUGUAAAAGAAACAAGACUGUCUUAGGUCUAUAUUUGCAUUUUGGGUGUUGUAUCCAGGUUGAUGGGUAACAAAUCCAUAUACCCACAACAAAAAUUACUGUUUUAAUCAGUUAUCUGUGUUUGCAGCAACACAAAUGUUUUAUUGUAGGGUUGAAUUAUUGGUUGUUUUAAUCACUCACCACCAACCCUUUGUUUUUAAAAAUGCUUUAAAGAGAAAAAAUUUGUACACUGUUACAAUAAAAUUAAUGUUUUGACAACA
ensembl:lncRNA